CUACGGGCGGCAGCAGUGGGGAAUAUUGGGCAAUGGGCGAAAGCCUGACCCAGCAACGCCGCGUGAAGGAAGAAGGUUUUCGGAUCGUAAACUUCUAUCCCAGGUGAAGAUAAUGACGGUAGCCUGGAAGGAAGCCCCGGCUAACUACGUGCCAGCAGCCGCGGUAAUACGUAGGGGGCAAGCGUUGUCCGGAAUGAUUGGGCGUAAAGGGCGCGUAGGCGGCCUUCUAAGUCCGAUGUGAAAGUCCUGCUUUUAAGGUGGGAAUUGCAUUGGAAACUGGAGGGCUUGAGUGCAGGAGAGGUAAGUGGAAUUCCCGGUGUAGCGGUGAAAUGCGUAGAGAUCGGGAGGAACACCAGUGGCGAAGGCGACUUACUGGACUGUAACUGACGCUGAGGCGCGAAAGUGUGGGGAGCAAACAGGAUUAGAUACCCGCGUAGUC
rnacentral:rRNA from 1 species